UAACUCAGUUGGUUAGAGCAUGGUGCUAAUAACACCAAGGUUGUGGGUUCAAUCCCUC
rnacentral:tRNA from 1 species